AUUAUUAGUCAGUUCCUGUGUGAUUGUCUGGGAAUAAACACGUUUAUUAUUAUUUAAUAAUAUUCAAUAAUAAUUAUUGUGCAAGGAAGCCGAUCUGGAGUGUUUUGGCAGCUCUAUAUUCAGACUUGCCCGAAGGCAUUGACGAGGCCUAAGAAGGAGCGAGCUCGCCCAGAAGGUUCCUGUUCACUCUGGCCUUGAAAGCACCCGGGUUUUAUGCAUUCGGAAAUACAGAAGACGGCAGAGAAUUCCAUUCCCGAGCAGUGCGCAUGAUGAAGGACGAUGCGAAGCGCUUUGUGCGAAUAAUUGGGAUAUCCACCAAAUAGGGAUGGAACCCGGCCGUACGUCUGGAAGUCCGGUGUGUCAUUAGAUGGUGCGACCACGUUGGUCUAACAGAAAGCUCGGGGAGGCAUGGGUACUUAGUUCAUCUCGCGAUGGAUGUACCUCUGACUACCACAAUUGGGAUAUAGUCGUGAGCUUAGAUAUUAUGUUAUGUGAGUUUGAAUCUCUGAGGUAAAAUCCAUCAGGCUCUCUCAGACUAAAUUCGUUAUUUAUAUAUUUAGAUAGGUAUAACAACAGUACACAUA